GACUGGCAGGAUUUGUGUGAGGCCAAUAACGAAGAAAGGGCAGUGUCUGCAGGCAGCUCCCUGCAGCAGCAUCUCGGGACUGUGUCGGGAGAAGGAGCGAGGGGGAUGUGUUUCUUUAGGUCACGGCAGCGCAGCGCUCCCGCUCCCGUCGCACGGAUGCAGUUCCCCUGGCCAGGACACCUGUUUUCUGCUGGCAAAGCUCAAGAAGCCUUUGCAGCUUCAGCCCCCGGACAAGUCCUCACACUAUGAAACCCAGCUUAGGCAUCAGCUUUGCACACCAAAGCAGUAGUGAUCUGUAAUAGCUGCAGCACCAAGAAUGAACCUGGAUGCAUUAGAAGAGCCCAGAAGAAAUCACAUGUCCAAGAGGACUUCGUUAGAUGGAAGAGAUAAUGCAAGGGACCCUGAGGAAGGUGAAAAGGAGGUGCAAAGAGGAGGUAUUGGAGAUCAGAAGCAUGAAACUGCUCAUUUGGUGCUUCUUUCCUUUUCUUUUCCUUCCCCAAGAUUUUCUUUUAAACAGAAUUCUCAGAUGAUGUCUACUUUUUCCUAGAUUUUUUUGUUUGUCUGUUUUGUUUCUCUAGGAGAGGAAAUAA